GACGAACGCUGGCGGCGUGCUUAACACAUGCAAGUCGAACGGUGAAGCGCCUUCCUUUUUGGUGGGUGUGGAUGCGUGGCGAACGGGUGAGUAACACGUGAGUAACCUGCACCCUUCUUCUGGAUAACCGCAUGAAAGUGUGGCUAAUACGGGAUAUUCUGGGUCUGUCGCAUGAUGGGUCUGGGAAAGAUAUUGUUUCGGUGGGGGAUGGGCUCGCGGCCUUUCAGCUUGUUGGUGGGGUGAUGGCCUAGCAAGGCGGUGCCGGGUAGCCGGCCUGAGAGGGUGGACGGUCACACUGGGACUGAGACACGGCUCAGACUCCUACGGGAGGCAGCAGUGUGGAAGAUUGCACAGUGGGCGCAAGCCUGAUGCGGCGGCGCCGCGUGAGGGAUGGAGGCCUUCGGGUUGUGAACCUCUUUCGCCAGUGAAGCGGGCCUGCCUCGUUUGUGGGUGGGUUGACGGUAGCUGGAUAAGAAGCGCCGGCUAACUACGUG
rnacentral:rRNA from 1 species